AGAGCUCAAAUUUGAAAUCUGGUGGCCUCAGGUCAUCCGAGUUGUAAUCUAUAGAAGUGUUUUCCGUGCUGGCCCAUGUACAAGUCCCUUGGAACAGGGCGUCAUAGAGGGUGAGAAUCCCGUCCUUGACAUGGACUACCAGUGCUCUGUGAUACACUUUCAACGAGUCGAGUUGUUUGGGAAUGCAGCUCAAAAUGGGUGGUAAAUUCCAUCUAAAGCUAAAUAUUGGCGAGAGACCGAUAGCGAACAAGUACCGUGAGGGAAAGAUGAAAAGCACUUUGGAAAGAGAGUUAAACAGUAUGUGAAAUUGUUGAAAGGGAAACGAUUGAAGUCAGUCGUGCUCAAUGGACUCAGCCGUUCUGCGGUGUAUUUCCAUUGGGUGGGGUCAACAUCAGUUUUGAUCGCUGGAUAAAGGCAGGAGGAAUGUAGCACCCCCGGGUGAACUUAUAGCCUCUUGUCACAUACAGUGGUUGGGACUGAGGAACGCAGCAUGCCUUUAUGGCCGGGAUUCGUCCACGUACAUGCUUAGGAUGUUGACAUAAUGGCUUUAAACGACCCGUCUUGAAACCACGGAACCA
rnacentral:rRNA from 1 species